rnacentral:rRNA from 1 species
UCGUCACACUAUCAUUAACUGAAUCCAUAGGUUAAUGAGGCGAACCGGGGGAACUGAAACAUCUAAGUACCCCGAGGAAAAGAAAUCAACCGAGAUUCCCCCAGUAGCGGCGAGCGAACGGGGAGGAGCCCAGAGCCUGAAUCAGCAUGUGUGUUAGUGGAAGCGUCUGGAAAGGCGCGCGAUACAGGGUGACAGCCCCGUACACAAAAGCGCAUGUGCUGUGAGCUCGAUGAGUAGGGCGGGACACGUGAUAUCCUGUCUGAAUAUGGGGGGACCAUCCUCCAAGGCUAAAUACUCCUGACUGACCGAUAGUGAACCAGUACCGUGAGGGAAAGGCGAAAAGAACCCCGGCGAGGGGAGUGAAAAAGAACCUGAAACCGUGUACGUACAAGCAGUGGGAGCACCCUUCGGGGUGUGACUGCGUACCUUUUGUAUAAUGGGUCAGCGACUUAUAUUCUGUAGCAAGGUUAACCGAAUAGGGGAGCCGGAGGGAAACCGAGUCUUAACCGGGCGUUAAGUUGCAGGGUAUAGACCCGAAACCCGGUGAUCUAGCCAUGGGCAGGUUGAAGGUUGGGUAACACUAACUGGAGGACCGAACCGACUAAUGUUGAAAAAUUAGCGGAUGACCUGUGGCUGGGGGUGAAAGGCCAAUCAAACCGGGAGAUAGCUGGUUCUCCCCGAAAGCUAUUUAGGUAGCGCCUCGUGAAUUCAUCUCCGGGGGUAGAGCACUGUUUCGGCUAGGGGGCCAUCCCGGCUUACCAACCCGAUGCAAACUGCGAAUACCGGAGAAUGUUAUCACGGGAGACACACGGCGGGUGCUAACGUCCGUCGUGAAGAGGGAAACAACCCAGACCGCCAGCUAAGGUCCCAAAGUCAUGGUUAAGUGGGAAACGAUGUGGGAAGGCCCAGACAGCCAGGAUGUUGGCUUAGAAGCAGCCAUCAUUUAAAGAAAGCGUAAUAGCUCACUGGUCGAGUCGGCCUGCGCGGAAGAUGUAACGGGGCUAAACCAUGCACCGAAGCUGCGGCAGCGA